rnacentral:rRNA from 1 species
GAAGAAGCGCAUACGGUGGAUGCCUUGGCAGUCAGAGGCGAUGAAAGACGUGGUAGCCUGCGAAAAGCUUCGGGGAGUCGGCAAACAGACUUUGAUCCGGAGAUGUCUGAAUGGGGGAACCCAGCCAUCAUAAGAUGGUUAUCUUGUACUGAAUACAUAGGUGCAAGAGGCGAACCAGGGGAACUGAAACAUCUAAGUACCCUGAGGAAAAGAAAUCAACCGAGAUUCCCUUAGUAGUGGCGAGCGAACGGGGACUAGCCCUUAAGUGGCUUUGAGAUUAGCGGAACGCUCUGGAAAGUGCGGCCAUAGUGGGUGAUAGCCCUGUACGCGAAAAUCUCUUAGUCAUGAAAUCGAGUAGGACGGAGCACGAGAAACUUUGUCUGAAUAUGGGGGGACCAUCCUCCAAGGCUAAAUACUACUGACUGACCGAUAGUGAACCAGUACCGUGAGGGAAAGGCGAAAAGAACCCCGGAGAGGGGAGUGAAAUAGAUCCUGAAACCGUAUGCGUACAAGCAGUGGGAGCCCACUUUGUUGGGUGACUGCGUACCUUUUGUAUAAUGGGUCAGCGACUUAUUUUCAGUGGCGAGCUUAACCGAAUAGGGGAGGCGUAGCGAAAGCGAGUCUUAAUAGGGCGUCUAGUCGCUGGGAAUAGACCCGAAACCGGGCGAUCUAUCCAUGGGCAGGUUGAAGGUUGGGUAACACUAACUGGAGGACCGAACCGACUACCUUUGAAAAGUUAGCGGAUGACCUGUGGAUCGGAGUGAAAGGCUAAUCAAGCUCGGAGAUAGCUGGUUCUCCUCGAAAGCUAUUUAGGUAGCGCCUCAUGUAUCACUGUAGGGGGUAGAGCACUGUUUCGGCUAGGGGGUCAUCCCGACUUACCAAACCGAUGCAAACUCCGAAUACCUACAAGUGCCGAGCAUGGGAGACACACGGCGGGUGCUAACGUCCGUCGUGAAGAGGGAAACAACCCAGACCGCCAGCUAAGGUCCCAAAGUCAUGGUUAAGUGGGAAACGAUGUGGGAAGGCACAGACAGCCAGGAUGUUGGCUUAGAAGCAGCCAUCAUUUAAAGAAAGCGUAAUAGCUCACUAGUCGAGUCGGCCUGCGCGGAAGAUGUAACGGGGCUCAAACCAUGCACCGAAGCUACGGGUAUCACCUUUUGGUGAUGCGGUAGAGGAGCGUUCUGUAAGCCUGUGAAGGUGAGUUGAGAAGCUUGCUGGAGGUAUCAGAAGUGCGAAUGCUGACAUGAGUAACGACAAUGGGUGUGAAAAACACCCACGCCGAAAGACCAAGGUUUCCUGCGCAACGUUAAUCGACGCAGGGUUAGUCGGUCCCUAAGGCGAGGCUGAAAAGCGUAGUCGAUGGAAAACAGGUUAAUAUUCCUGUACUUCUGGUUAUUGCGAUGGAGGGACGGAGAAGGCUAGGCCAGCUUGGCGUUGGUUGUCCAAGUUUAAGGUGGUAGGCUGAGAUCUUAGGUAAAUCCGGGAUCUUAAGGCCGAGAGCUGAUGACGAGUUAACUUUUAGUUAACGAAGUGGUUGAUGCCAUGCUUCCAAGAAAAGCUUCUAAGCUUCAGGUAACCAGGAACCGUACCCCAAACCGACACAGGUGGUUGGGUAGAGAAUACCAAGGCGCUUGAGAGAACUCGGGUGAAGGAACUAGGCAAAAUGGCACCGUAACUUCGGGAGAAGGUGCGCCGGUGAGGGUGAAGCAUUUACUGCGUAAGCUCACGCCGGUCGAAGAUACCAGGCCGCUGCGACUGUUUAUUAAAAACACAGCACUCUGCAAACACGAAAGUGGACGUAUAGGGUGUGACGCCUGCCCGGUGCCGGAAGGUUAAUUGAUGGGGUUAGCUAACGCGAAGCUCUUGAUCGAAGCCCCGGUAAACGGCGGCCGUAACUAUAACGGUCCUAAGGUAGCGAAAUUCCUUGUCG